UACUCCAGUGUCUCCUCCUCGGGUCUUCGGCCCUGGAUUCCCUGCGUUUACCCGAGCUCGCUUAACUAACACUUAAGUAUUUAACAAUACUGAACAAGCCUGACUAAACCAUAACUAAACAGUUAGUAAUGCUCUUUGGUAGACUUAUUGUAAAGUUAAGUACAUAUGCACCUUAACUUACACUUGAUAAAUGCAUAAGAGUGCUGAAUAAGCAUUACUAAACAAUGAUUCAUAGUUUAUUAAUACUCUUUGACUUAAACAUUCACACACCUUUUAAAAAUUAGUGAAACAUUGUCAAUGUGAAAUCAAAUCUUCAUGACUACCUUCUGUUAUGCACACAUAUUCAAAAUGUAAACAAGGUUUUCAUUUGAUUCUGAGUUUUUAACUAAGUCAGUUCUUAUCUUUCUUUCCACUGAGACUCCGAGUAUAACAGUUUAAGUCCUGUAUGAAGAUUACACUGGAAAUUGUCCCGCUCUCGUCAUUUUCACUGUCCUGUCUACUGGAUAGUUUUCCUCUCUUGAAACCUAACAAACCAAGUGGGAUAUAUUAAUUUCUUUUAAAUGCAUGCAAAAGCUACGGAUGCAAGAAUUGUCGUUCACUAGAUCAACAUCAAAUCUUUACACAUAUUGUACAAAUGAUAACAAAACAUGAUGGAGCAGCCUUAAUGGUACACGCUCUACCUAGUGAGUGGUGAGCUACCUUGACGAUCAUGAUUAUCCAUUAUCUAGAUACUGUCCAGAAUAUUAAUGCAUUGAUGCAUCUGACAGCCAGCAAUCACAGCAUUCAAAUGUUUUGUUUGUAUAGAUCACAGUAUACUAUGGACCAUAAAUAAUCAUUAUCAUAGUGUAGCCUCCCUAGCUAAAAAGAUGGUCUUCAUGGUUGGAUAGUUAAUUCACUUUCUAUGCAGAAAUCAACCUAAAUUAAAAGCCUAAUACAAUAUUAAAAUGAUUCUCCUUUGAACCUACUGUCACAUCCAACAUACCGUAGUAAUUGCAUUUCUAUCUCUCAAGUUACACCGUUUCAUGUAACUAAACAGGGUCAUUAGCCUGGUAAUUAACUGCAGGCUAAAAUAUGUUGACAUGCUAGCCUUACUUGCACAUACUCAUCUCCAAGUCCAUAAAACUCUUAAACGGCAUAUCAAGUGACUGACAAUACAAACGAUAGAGUAAACACUGACAAACCUUAUUCCUUUAUCAACCAGAUGAUAAACAAGAUAAGCAUACACAAACCAGUAAGCACACGUUCUUUAGAACCGUUAGAUUAAAAACAAAAAAAAGAGCCGUUAGAUCAGGCUAACCUCGCACUAGCUGCCCUUUUUCACAUUAAUUUAAAAUUAAAAUAUCUGUGCUCUAGCUAGUUAUAUGUACUAAUCUGACUGAAUCUGAAUGUAAAGUUAACGUUAGCUAUGUCAGUUGCAGUACAGGCCAGUAACGUUAGCUAACGUUAGGCUGCUAGAUUGCUAGGCACUAUCCUGCCCCAAAUACGAGAUAGAUUCGGAUUACAGGUGUGUAAUUUGCAUCAUGCAACAAACUAAUAUGACAAUAACAUACCUGACUCUUUUCACUUGUUGAUCAGGCUUAUACACACAACUAUUAUUGUGGUAUGAUGUCCUUCAUCUGUGCAUUGCCUUCUCUCCCACCUCCUGCCCACGUUUUCUGAUCUUUCACUAUACAUCAUACCAACAUAAAAACAGAAACACUAUGUGAAAGCUACUAUAAAAAAAAUACUGCUCUUUUGUGAGGAUGCAGUAUUUUUAGUAUUGCAAACUAUCAGUGAGGUAUGUUAUUGUCAUAUUAGUUUGUUGCAUGAUGCAAAUUACACACCUGUAAUCCGAAUCUAUCUAGUAUUUGGGGCAGGCGCAGUGCCACUCAUGAUUCUUAUGUGUUGGCUCUAUUUUUCAACCGCCUGUGUGGUCAAGGGUUCCUAGACUUUCUCUAUCUAUUACAUUGUACUUGAAUUAUUAAUUACCUCCUGUAUAUUAAUCUCUUUCAGAUAACAGGAAAGAGUUUGAAAACUGAUUUGACGACCACUGCUGAAUUGGCCUACUCAGAGGAAGAGGCACUAAUGAUUCCAGAAGAGGAAGCCAAAGAAGAACACCUACACAGACUUUGAAAUGGAUCUCUCAAUUGCCAUGAUGACCAAGAUAUUCAACGGGGAAAUGUGGAAAAUGUGGAAAGUCAUUACUUUGCCAAAUCAUCUGUGCAGCAGCACCGAGGGAUCCUACUUUCCUGAGUACGAAGCCGGCCAUCAAGGACUUCCCCGACUGGCAACAGACUGGAGCAGAGGCUGUAGCAGGGACAGCAUUUUUUUUUUUUUUUUUUUUUUUUUUUU